AUCCAGCUGACGAGUCCCAAAUAGGACGGAACGCGUAUCUUGGAU
rnacentral:hammerhead_ribozyme from 1 species